AUGCUCACUUCGGCAGCACACAUACUAAAAUUGUAAUGAUACAGAGAAGAUUAUUGGGGACCCUGUGCAAGGAUGGCACGCAAUUUUGGGAAGCGUUCCAUAUUUUU